GAAAUGCGAUAAGUAGUGUGAAUUGCAGAAUUCAGUGAAUCAUCGAAUCUUUGAACGCACAUUGCGCCCUUUGGUAUUCCUUAGGGCAUGCCUGUUCGAGCGUCAUCUAAACCUUCAAGUCCUGCUUGGUGUUGGGUGCCUGUCCCGCCUCCGCGCGCGGACUCACCUCAAAUCCAUUGGCGGCCCCCGCGUCGGCCACGAGCGCAGCAGAAACGCGAACUCGUGAGCCCGUCCGGGCGGCUCCCAGAAGCUACACCCACCCAGUUUGACCUCGGAUCAGGUAGGGAUACCCGCUGAACUUAAGC
rnacentral:misc_RNA from 1 species